rnacentral:rRNA from 1 species
UACAGAGGUCUCAACCGUUGUUUCGGAUUCAUUGGGGCGUAAAGGGUGCGUAGGCGGUCGCGCGAGUCGGAUGUGAAAUCUCAGGGCUCACCCUGAAACUGCAUUCGAUACUGCGUGGCUAGAGUGCUGGAGAGGAGACUGGAAUUUACGGUGUAGCAGUGAAAUGCGUAGAUGAUCGUAAGGAAGACCAGUCGGCGAAGGCGAGUCUCUGGAGCAGCAACUGACGCUGAGGCACCGAAG